GGCCUCCAAAAUGACCACCGCCAGUGCACAGAGGGCUGGAAAGGGCAGUUGGAGACCACAGGGAGGUUGGCGGGGGGAGGGGGAACCUCAGCAGAUCCCCCUCAUCUGUGGCAGCACCCCCAAAGUCCUGCAAUGAUGACCUCCUCUAGGUGCCGCCACCAUCUGGUAAGGCAGGGACAACUGAAAAGGCCGCCUUCUCAGCAGUGGAAUCCUGUUUGUGGAAUUUUGUCCUCAGGAAGGCUCACCUUGAUGUUGUCUUUUCAGCUCCAGGGAGUUUUUCUGGAGAAGGACAUUAAAAUGUGAUUUAUCUAUUUUCAUUCUGAAGUGAUAUGAGCUGAUUUGGCGCUGCAAGAUUCUACUGCUUCAGUCUGGGCCAGGACCUAUCUUUCUCCUCUGAUUCAGGAUUGGCCUCUUGUCUGGACUGGGACACUUGUCUUUCUCUGUGAAGACUGCAUCUGUCCACCAAGUUUUCUCUCUCCACUCCACUGUUCCCAGAGAUCUGAAGCCAACCAGGGAGUUUUCCAGCCUUCACCUCCUCCUGCUUGCCUUCAUAAACCGCUCUCAUUUCUGGAUGCUAGCAGUUGCAGACAGGCCAUCCAACUGGAUCUUUGGCAAUGGAGCAGGCAGCAACAGCACUGUCUCCUUUUAGAACAACUGAUGAUCCAGCCUGCAGUUAAUAGAGCACUUGCCUCUGCUUGAUCCCCAACGCAGAGGCUGAAAUCAUUGUGCCCACAGACAGGAUGCCUAGGAGACUAUAAUUCCUUAGCAUAUAUAAUGCGAUGUUAGUCUAGAAGAAAGGUAGUUUUCAACAAAACGGAGCAACUAAGCACCCUACGGACUUGCUGGCACAAGGCGAGAACAGAACCCUUGCAAAUAAUGAGGGCUACCUGUGUCCACAAAGGUAUUCUUAUGGCAGUGUUAUCGACAUGCAAAAUACAAAAAUGAAUUUUAGAAAGCUUUAAUGGAAAACAGUAACUUCCGGAGCUUUGAUCUACCAUUCAGUCCUGAUGGCAUACCAUGUGACCCAAAUGCAGCAGCAAUGAACUGGACAUACUGUUUUUUCUUGCCUGAGACCUUCAUUGAUAAGUGCUCUUUGCCUAAAGUGUACAUUUGCUGGAAGAGUGGCUAAAUAUAACGAUGGUGAUGCUAUUUUGGGCAACCCAUUACUAUUAUUAACUAAUAGCAAUAAAAUCAGAAAAUUAAACAGUGA